GCCCACAUCACAUUGAAACACCAUUCCCAUACAAUCACCAAAGUUAAGCAAUGUUGAGCCUGGUCAGUACCUAGAUGGGUAACUGUUUGGGAAUACCAUGUACUGUAA